UUUAAUUCGAAGCAACGCGCAGAACCUUACCACCUUUUGACAUGCCUGGACCGCCAGAGAGAUCUGGCUUUCUCUUCGGAGACUAGGACACAGGUGCUGCAUGGCUGUCGUCAGCUCGUGUCGUGAGAUGUUGGGUUAAGUCCCGCAACGAGCGCAACCCUCGCCAUUAGUUGCCAUCAUUUAGUUGGGAACUCUAAUGGGACUGCCGGUGCUAAGCCGGAGGAAGGUGGGGAUGACGUCAAGUCCUCAUGGCCCUUACAGGGUGGGCUACACACGUGCUACAAUGGCAACUACAGAGGGUUAAUCCUUAAAAGUUGUCUCAGUUCGGAUUGUCCUCUGCAACUCGAGGGCAUGAAGUUGGAAUCGCUAGUAAUCGCGGAUCAGCAUGCCG
rnacentral:rRNA from 1 species